GAUGAACGCUGGCGGCAUGCCUAACACAUGCAAGUCGGACGGGAAGUGGUGUUUCCAGUGCCGGCGGGGUGGGUAACGCGUAAGAACCUGCCCUAGGGAGGGGAACAACAGCUGGAAACGGCUGCUAAUACCGCGUAGGCCGAGGAGCAAAAGGAGGAAUCCUCUCGAGGGGGGGCUUGCGUCUGGUUCGCUAGUUGGGGAGGCAAUAGCGUACCAAAGCGAUGAGCACUAGCUGGUGCGAGAGGAUGAUCACACACACUGGGACUGAGACACACCCCAGAGACUCCUGCGAGACGGAGGAGUGGGGAAUACCGCAAUGGGCGAGAGCGUGACAGAGCGAAACGGCGUGUGAGUGAUAAAGGCACGAGUCGUGUACUGCUUUUUCAGGAGAGAAGGUAAUGACAGUACCUGGAGAAUAAGCACCGGCUAACUCCGUG
rnacentral:rRNA from 1 species